GAUGAACGCUGGCGGCGUGCUUAACACAUGCAAGUCGAACGAAGCACUUUAUUUGAUUUCCUUCGGGACUGAUUAUUUUGUGACUGUGUGGCGGACGGGUGAGUAACGCGUGGGUAACCUGCCUUGUACAAGGGGAUAACAGUUGGAAACGGCUGCUAAUACCGCAUAAGCGCACAGCAUCGCAUGAUGCAGUGUGAAAAACUCCGGUGGUAUAAGAUGGACCCGCGUUGGAUUAGCUAGUUGGUGAGGUAACGGCCCACCAAGGCGACGAUCCAUAGCCGACCUGAGAGGGUGACCGGCCACAUUGGGACUGAGACACGGCCCAAACUCCUACGGGAGGCAGCAGUGGGGAAUAUUGCACAAUGGGCGAAAGCCUGAUGCAGCGACGCCGCGUGAGCGAAGAAGUAUUUCGGUAUGUAAAGCUCUAUCAGCAGGGAAGAUAAUGACGGUACCUGACUAAGAAGCACCGGCUAAAUACGUG
rnacentral:rRNA from 1 species